rnacentral:rRNA from 1 species
CCUACGGGAGGCAGCAGUGAGGAAUAUUGGUCAAUGGACGAGAGUCUGAACCAGCCAAGUAGCGUGAAGGAUGACUGCCCUAUGGGUUGUAAACUUCUUUUAUAUGGGAAUAAAACAGGGUAUGCAUACCCUCUUGUAUGUACCAUAUGAAUAAGGAUCGGCUAACUCCGGUCCAGCAGCCGCGGUAAUACGGAGGAUACGAGCGUUAUCCGGAUUUAUUGGGGUUAAAGGGAGCGUAGGUGGAUUGUUAAGUCAGUUGUGAAAGUUUGCGGGGCAACCGUAAAAUUGCAGUUGAAACUGGCAGGCGUGAGUACAGUAGAGGUGGGCGGGAAUCGUGGUGUAGCGGUGAAAUGCUUAGAUAUCACGAAGAACUCCGAUUGCGAAGGCAGCUAACUGGACUGCAACUGAAACUGAUGCUCGAAAGUGUGGGUAUCAAACAGGAAUAGAUAACCUUGGAGUC